rnacentral:tRNA from 1 species
CAAGGCGUAGCUAAUAUAGUAAAGUAUCUCACUUACACCGAGAAGACACUCAUGCGAACUGAGUCGCCCUGA